UAUUUAUUUAUUUAUUUAUUUGGAAUUUCUGAAAUUAGUAAAGGGAAGGGAAGCUUUUAGUGUUUAAAUCUUUACUUCCUGUAAUGUAAGAACAAGAGAUAAAACCACCCUGAGGAGUGAAAAUUAAGGACACUAGAGAGGAAAUUGAGAGUAGAGUAAGAGUUUUCGAAAGAAAUAAAGAGGAAAUUUUGUCUUAAUUAGAUCUAACAUGUACUUGCUAUGAUCGAUGUUAUUACAAAUUUUCAUGAUUGAAAGGAA
rnacentral:misc_RNA from 1 species